AAUAUUGGUCAAUGGAGGCAACUCUGAACCAGCCAUGCCGCGUGCAGGAAGAAUGUCCGAUGGAUUGUAAACUGCUUUUGUACGGGAAGAAUUGUAAUUACGUGUAAUUAUUUGACGGUACCGUACGAAUAAGGAUCGGCUAACUCCGUGCCAGCAGCAGCGGUAAUACGGAGGAUCCGCGCGAUAUCCGGAAUUAUUGGGUUUAAAGGGUCCGUAGGCGGCCUUGUAAGUAGGGGGUGAAAUCUCUUAGCUCAACUAAGAACUUGCCUUUGAUACUGCUUGGCUUGAAUCAUUAGGAAGUAACUAGAAUAUGUAGUGUAGCGGUGAAAUGCUUAGAUAUUACAUGGAAUACCGAUUGCGAAGGCAGGUUACUACUAAUGUAUUGACGCUGAUGGACGAAAGCGUGGGUAGCGAACA
rnacentral:rRNA from 1 species